GCGCCUUCUCCACAGCGCACGCGCGGCCUAGGCCCAGCCUCGCUUCGGUCUUCGCGAGCGCGCGGGGGGCGGGGUGAGGGGAACAUCUGCGCCUGCGCAGCUCGAACCGCCGCUCCAGCGGCGUUCUUGUUGCUAUGUCCUUGCGUGGUUGAGCAAUCCGCCUCCGUCUCACUGCGCUUCUGCGCGCUCUCAGCUUUUGGACCAGUUUAUGAAGCAUGAACCAGAUAACGCCGCACUUCACAGCUCCUGUUAAGAACCCUUAAAACAAGUUAUGGCAAAACAGCAGACCGCCGGCGAACCUGCCUUAUGGAAGGGUUCUUGAAAGGAUGUUUCACCCAACAGUUAUGCAGAUAAGAGUUGUUGGAGUCAGAGUAGGAGAAAGACCUCUGUUUGAAGAAGUCAUGGCUUGCCAGGUAACACUGCCUCUUUCCCCCUGAAUGGGAGGCCAACCUAGUCUUCUCUUGUCUGGCUUCCUCAAUACCGUGAGUUUUAGAGAGCUGGGAUGGUGGCCUGUUCUCAAGCAUGGUAACCAACAGCAAAGAAAGAAAGAGCCUUGCCUGCGACGAGAGGAUCCAAGGACCGGCUUCCAGGUGCUUCCCUAAUCUUCAUCCAGUUGCUGAUGGAAGCAGAAGCUCACACCCACAGCUAAACACUGAGCUG